CUGUUCAGAAGGUGCUUCGGUCUGGCACUUUGCGGUGCUGUGGGGUGAUUGGGAGAUCGGCGUUGGUUGAAAAUCACCUGAGGCUUUGGCCGUGGCCGCAGGAUACCUGGAUGCUCAGAGCCUGAGGCCGACGACGCCAUGACCGCGGGGGAAGGAGGGCUCUGCUUUCGUUUUUCAAUAAAGCUGUUGAUCUAA